rnacentral:rRNA from 1 species
UUUUUAUUGAGAGUUUGAUCCUGGCUCAGGACGAACGCUGGCGGUAUGCUUAACACAUGCAAGUCGAACGAGACGGGAUGGAAUGACCCUUCGGGGGAAUGAAAUCUUAGAAAGUGGCGAACGGGUGAGUAACGCGUGGGUAACCU